AGUGAACGCUGGCGGCGUGCUUAACACAUGCAAGUCGAACGAGAACGGGCUAUAGCUUGCUAUAGUUGUCAGCUAAGUGGCGCACGGGUGAGUAAUGUAUAGGUAAUAUGCCUCUUACUAAGGGAUAACAAAUGGAAACGUUUGCUAAUACCUUAUACUCCUUUUAAACAGAAGUUUAAAAGGGAAAGAUUUAUUGGUAAGAGAUUAGCCUGUAUUGUAUCAGUUAGUUGGUGGGGUAAUGGCUUACCAAGACUAUGACACAUAACUGGUUUGAGAGGAUGAUCAGUCACACUGGAACUGAGACACGGUCCAGACUCCUACGGGAGGCAGCAGUGGGGAAUAUUGCACAAUGGACGAAAGUCUGAUGCAGCAACGCCGCGUGGAGGAUGACACAUUUCGGUGCGUAAACUCCUUUUAUAUGAGAAGAUAAUGACGGUAUUAUAUGAAUAAGCACCGGCUAACUCCGUGCCAGCAGCCGCCGCCGUAA
rnacentral:rRNA from 1 species